rnacentral:tRNA from 1 species
UUGGUUAAAGCCAAAAAGAGGCAUAUCACUGUUAAUGAUAGAACUGGAAUUAUUUUCCUAGCCAAG